rnacentral:rRNA from 1 species
GAUGAACGCUGGCGGCGUGCCUAAUACAUGCCAGUCGAGCGAACAGACGAGGAGCUUGCUCCUCUGACGUUAGCGGCGGACGGGUGAGUAACACGUGGAUAACCUACCUAUAAGACUGGGAUAACUUCGGGAAACCGGAGCUAAUACCGGAUAAUAUAUUGAACCGCAUGGUUCAAUAGUGAAAGACGGUUUUGCUGUCACUUAUAGAUGGAUCCGCGCCGCAUUAGCUAGUUGGUAAGGUAACGGCUUACCAAGGCGACGAUGCGUAGCCGACCUGAGAGGGUGAUCGGCCACACUGGAACUGAGACACGGUCCAGACUCCUACGGGAGGCAGCAGUAGGGAAUCUUCCGCAAUGGGCGAAAGCCUGACGGAGCAACGCCGCGUGAGUGACGAAGGUCUUCGGAUCGUAAAACUCUGUUAUUAGGGAAGAACAUAUGUGUAAGUAACUGUGCACAUCUUGACGGUACCUAAUCAGAAAGCCACGGCUAACUACGUG